UGGUGAUUAGCUCAAUGGUUAGAGCAUUGGUCUCAUAAACCAAGGGUUGUAAGUUCAAGUCUUGUAUCACCAA
rnacentral:tRNA from 1 species